GCUAACGGCUGAACUGGCAACUUGGAGAAGUGGCAAGUCUUCCAGUAUGGGGAGCAAACAGCUAUGGGUCAAGCCCGAUACCUUUAAGAGAAGUCUUAUUGUGAGGGCGAGUUGUAUAACACCAUAGGGCUGGCCGUCCCAUAUGAAAAGAUUUUAUUAGAAUUGAAUGAAACUUUGUUUAUAUAUUGAUAAUGACAGUAUAUAUAUCGUGUCUUGACUAAUUGCGUGCCAGCAGUCGCGGUAAUACGUAAGAGACUAGUGUUAUUCAUCUUAAUUAGGUUUAAAGGGUACCCAGACGGUCUAUAUAGCUUAUAAAAUGUUAGUAUAAGACUAGAGUUUUAUGUAAGAGGGCAGUACUUGAGGAGGAGAGAUGAAAUUUCGUGAUACCAAAGGGACUCUGUAAAGGCGAAGGCAGCCCUCUAUGUAAAAACUGACGUUGAAGGACGAAGGCACAGAGAACAAACAGGAUUAGAUACCCAAGUAGUCUUUGCAGUAAAUGAUGAAUGCCAUAGGUUAGAUAUAAAUAAUCCCUAUUAUAUAUAUAAUACAAAAGUAUUAAAUAUAUCUGGUCUAUAAAUGAAAGUGUAAGCAUUUCACCUCAAGAGUAAUGUGGCAACGCAGGAACUGAAAUCACUAGACCGUUUCUGACACCAGUAGUGAAG
rnacentral:rRNA from 1 species